GACGAACGCUGGCGGCGUGCUUAACACAUGCAAGUCGAACGGAAAGGCCUGCUUUCCCUUGUGGAUUGCGGGUACUCGAGUGGCGAACGGGUGAGUAACACGUGAGUUAUCUGCCCCCAACUUGGGUAUAAGCCUGGGAAACUGGGUCUAAUUCCCGAUAGGACUGCAGGGUGGUGCCUGUGGUGGAAAACGAUUUUCUAGUGGUUGGGGAUGAGCUCGCGGCCUAUCAGCUUGUUGGUGGGGUAAUGGCCUACCAAGGCGGCGACGGGUAGCCGGCCUGAGAGGGUGGACGGCCACAUUGGGACUGAGAUACGGCCCAGACUCCUACGGGAGGCAGCAGUGGGGAAUAUUGCACAAUGGGCGGAAGCCUGAUGCAGCGACGCCGCGUGGGGGAUGACGGCCUUCGGGUGGUAAACUCCUUUCGACCGCGAGGAAGCCACCUGGUUGGAAGGGUGGUGACGGUAGUGGUAGAAGAAGCACCGGCUAACUACGUG
rnacentral:rRNA from 1 species